CUUAAGCAUCCUUCCUCAGAACAGGCCUUAUCUGUUUCAGCCAUAAGAACAUUCAAGGUUGACUCUGGUAGAGAUUUAGAUGGCAAAUGGAGAAGGUGGGAUGUACCUCAGAACAAGAGGGAUAAUGAGAACUGGAGACCAAAACAGGACUUUGACAAAAGAUGGAGAGAUCCACAGAGGGACCAUAGGAAUAGGGACAGUUCUAAAGGAAGUAAUGUAAUGGGAGAUAAUUGGAAAAAUAGAUGGGAG